rnacentral:misc_RNA from 1 species
AACCGCCGGAUGCGGAAAACCGCACGUUCGAUGUGGGGGGGUUGAUGGAUAGUUAGUCACCUCACCCCGAU